rnacentral:rRNA from 1 species
UACGUAGGUGGCAAGCGUUGUCCGGAUUUACUGGGCGUAAAGAGCGCGCAGGCGGUCGAUUUAGUCGCGUGUGAAAGCCCCCGGCUCAACUGGGGAGGGUCACGCGAUACUGAUCGACUCGAAGGCAGGAGAGGGUAGUGGAAUUCCCGGUGUAGUGGUGAAAUGCGUAGAUAUCGGGAGGAACACCAGUGGCGAAGGCGGCUCACUGGACUGGUAUUGACGCUGAGGUGCGAAAGCGUGGGGAGCAAACAGG